rnacentral:lncRNA from 1 species
GGGAAUUCUCUGGGCUGUACUGGGCUUCCCUCCAUGCUGGGGGGCAAACAGGUGCUCAGACCUCAUAGAUGAGUCACUGAGGAAGGACUGUGGGGGUCCCCAGCUGAGAGAAGCCAGCUCUGCAGAACACUCGGUUUGGAUUGUGGUUUCCCUGGCACCUUCAGGGAGGGAUCUGGGCUGCGAUCUCCUGAGCUAUGUGGUGCUCCCUGGGACAGAUCUCAGCAGUGGGGUGGUUCCAAGGACAACGUUAUGGUUUUAGUCUACCACAGCUCUCCCGUUCGGCCCUGGGCAAGGUGGCCACCAGGCUCCCACAGCCAAAACAAUAAGCAGAGACCAAAAGGAAGCAGAGACCUGGCUUUAUAUCACAUAAGGACGGAUGGCAAAACUUUCCUAAAGGCAUAUGUUGUGGAAAAAGGAAAACCCCUCAAAGGUACUUCCUGCUCAGAGCAGGAUGUGGAGUGA